rnacentral:rRNA from 1 species
GACGAACGCUGGCGGCGCGCCUAACACAUGCAAGUCGAACGAGCGAGAGAGAGCUUGCUUUCUCAAGCGAGUGGCGAACGGGUGAGUAACGCGUGAGGAACCUGCCUCAAAGAGGGGGACAACAGUUGGAAACGACUGCUAAUACCACAUAAGCCCACGACCCGGCAUCGGGUUGAGGGAAAAGGAGCAAUCCGCUUUGAGAUGGCCUCGCGUCCGAUUAGCUGGUUGGUGAGGUAACGGCCCACCAAGGCAACGAUCGGUAGCCGGACUGAGAGGUUGAACGGCCACAUUGGGACUGAGACACGGCCCAGACUCCUACGGGAGGCAGCAGUGGGGAAUAUUGCACAAUGGGGGAAACCCUGAUGCAGCGACGCCGCGUGGAGGAAGAAGGUCUUCGGAUUGUAAACUCCUGUUGUUGAGGAAGAUAAUGACGGUACUCAACAAGGAAGUGACGGCUAACUACGUGCCAGCAGCCGCGGUAAAACGUAGGUCACAAGCGUUGUCCGGAAUUACUGGGUGUAAAGGGAGCGCAGGCGGGAAGACAAGUUGGAAGUGAAAUCUAUGGGCUCAACCCAUAAACUGCUUUCAAAACUGUUUUUCUUGAGUAGUGCAGAGGUAGGCGGAAUUCCCGGUGUAGCGGUGGAAUGCGUAGAUAUCGGGAGGAACACCAGUGGCGAAGGCGGCCUACUGGGCACCAACUGACGCUGAGGCUCGAAAGUGUGGGUAGCAAACAGG